rnacentral:rRNA from 1 species
UACAGAGGUCUCAAGCGUUUGUUCGGAUUCAUUGGGCGUAAAGGGUGCGUAGGUGGCAUGGUAAGUCGGAUGUGAAAUCCCGGGGCUCAACCCCGGAACUGCAUUCGAUACUGCUGCGCUAGAGUACUGGAGAGGAGAUUGGAAUUUACGGUGUAGCAGUGAAAUGCGUAGAUAUCGUAAGGAAGACCAGUGGCGAAGGCGGAUCUCUGGACAGUUACUGACACUGAGGCACGAAGGCCAGGGGAGCA